rnacentral:rRNA from 1 species
CGCCUGUUUAACAAAAACAUGUCCUUUUGAAUAUAUUUAAGGUUUAGCCUGCCCAAUGAGGGUUUAAAUGGCCGCAGUAUUUUGACUGUGCAAAGGUAGCAUAAUUAUUAGUUUUUUAAUUAAAAGCUUGUAUGAAGGGUUGGACGAGAUAAAAUCUGUCUUUAUUUAAAUUAAAAUAGAAUUUAACUUUUAAGUCAAAAGGCUUAAAUUUAUAUAAAAGACGAGAAGACCCUAUAGAUCUUUAUUUAAUUAAUAUUUUAAUAAUUCAGGAUUAUUUUAGUUUAAAGUUUUAGUUAAAUUUUAUUGGGGUAAUAUAAAGAUUAAAAAAAUUCUUUUUAUUUAUUACAUUGAUUUAUGAAUAUAUGAUCCAGUAUUGCUGAUUAAAAGAUUAAGUUACCUUAGGGAUAACAGCGUAAUUUUUUUGG